AUUGAACGCUGGCGGCAGGCUUAACACAUGCAAGUCGAGCGGGGACUUCGGUCCUAGCGGCGAACGGGUGAGGAAUGCUUGGGAAUCUGCCCAGUAGCGGGGGAUAACGCUUCGAAAGGAACGCUAAUACCGCAUACGCCCUACGGGGGAAAGGGGGGGAUCUUCGGACCUCUCACUAUUGGAUGAGCCCAAGUCGGAUUAGCUAGUUGGUGGGGUAAAGGCCUACCAAGGCGACGAUCCGUAGCGGGUCUGAGAGGAUGAUAAGCCACACUGGAACUGAGACACGGGCCAGAUUCCUACGGGAGGCAGCAGUGGGGAAUAUUGGACAAUGGGCGAAAGCCUGAUCCAGCCAUGCCGCGUGUGUGAAGAAGGCCUUCGGGUUGUAAAGCAUUUUAAGCGAGGAGGAAUGGCUGAGGGUUAAUAACCUUCAGCAGUGACGUUACUCGCAGAAUAAGCACCGGCUAACUCUGUGCCAGCCGCCGCGGUAAUAC
rnacentral:rRNA from 1 species